rnacentral:rRNA from 1 species
GACGAACGCUGGCGGCGUGCCUAAUACAUGCAAGUAGAACGCACAAUUUAUACCGUAGCUUGCUACACCAUAGACUGUGAGUUGCGAACGGGUGAGUAACGCGUAGGUAACCUGCCUGGUAGCGGGGGAUAACUAUUGGAAACGAUAGCUAAUACCGCAUAAUAUUGAUUAUUGCAUGAUAAUUAAUUGAAAGGUGCAAUUGCACCACUACCAGAUGGGCCUGCGUUGUAUUAGCUAGUAGGUGAGGUAACGGCUCACCUAGGCGACGAUACAUAGCCGACCUGAGAGGGUGAUCGGCCACACUGGGACUGAGACACGGCCCAGACUCCUACGGGAGGCAGCAGUAGGGAAUCUUCGGCAAUGGACGAAAGUCUGACCGAGCAACGCCGCGUGAGUGAAGAAGGUUUUCGGAUCGUAAAGCUCUGUUGUAAGAGAAGAACGGGUGUGAGAGUGGAAAGUUCACACUGUGACGGUAUCUUACCAGAAAGGGACGGCUAACUACGUG